UGAGAGGAUUGGGAUGGCCUCUGGGUGG
rnacentral:sRNA from 1 species